rnacentral:piRNA from 1 species
UCCAGAGAGCGUUUACCGAAAUUA